ensembl:miRNA mir199-3a microRNA 199a-2
CGUCUGCCCAGUGUUCAGACUACCUGUUCAGGAGGUUGUUGUUGUACAGUAGUCUGCACAUUGGUUAGACUG